UACAGAGGUCCCAAGCGUUGUUCGGAUUCACUGGGCGUAAAGGGUGCGUAGGUGGUGGGGGUAAGUCGGAUGUGAAAGCUCGGAGCUCAACUCCGAAAUGGCAUUGGAAACUACCCUGCUAGAGGAUUGGAGGGGGGGACUGGAAUACUUGGUGUAGCAGUGAAAUGCGUAGAUAUCAAGUGGAACACCAGUGGCGAAGGCGAGUCCCUGGACAAUACCUGACACUGAGGCACGAAAGCUAGGGGGAGCAAACAGG
rnacentral:rRNA from 1 species